rnacentral:sRNA from 1 species
GCAGGGUGUGGUGGCGCCCACCUGUAAUCCCAGCAGCUCAGGAGGCUGAGACAGGAGGAUCAUAAGUUCAAAGCUAGCCUUAGCAACAGCAAGGCGCUUAGCAAUUCAGUGAGACCCUGUCUCUA